rnacentral:lncRNA from 10 species
AGGCUGUGGCUUGCCUUUUCACUUCUUGUGUCCUGUUUAAGAAAUAUCUGCUAUCCCAAGAUAACACUAACAAAGUUGACCUUAGAAUUGGAGUGCCUGGGUUAGAACCCUGCUGGUACCACCUGCUUACUGCAUGCUUCUGAUGUGAGUUCAGGAGAAGACACUGGCAAGGACAGCAAAGAACAGGAGAACACUCUAGCUUCCCUGAUAGCAUUCAAGGUGCUGUCCAAACUGACUGUGAUGGCACCCUCCAGACAGACAGCGAUGCCACAUGUUCAAGAUGGCAGAAUCACUAUCAGCUUCAAUUCCUGAAUGACUGCAGAGCAAAAUUUCUUACCUGCAACAUACACUCUAUUUUCAGCCUCCC